CUUGGUGGGAGCUGCCUUGUAACCCCCAAGCAACGGAAGAGCAAGAAAGUGAACAUAUACAAGCCAGAAGGGGGUCCUCACCCAACCUGACCUUUUUGGACAUCCACCCUCCAGAACUAUGAAGAAGAGAUUUCCAUAGUUUAAGCCACCCAAAUCUCAGAUCUGCAAAUUUUGACCCAGAAGAAACAGAUGGAC